AAUUUUGGCAGCAAUCAUUCUCAGAUGCGCUGGCCUUUGUUUUUGUUUCCCUUGCUCUCUCUCUAAGUGGGACGCCAACUCAAAACAGAUGCAAAUUCCCUCCUCAGCAAAAUCUGCCACAACAGGCACAUCUAUAGCCAUUCCAGUCCUAGGUAAAUGGGGCACAGGGUUUCUCCGACUCACACUUCCUAACCUCAGUUCCUCCACUGCCGCCAGGAGCCCUGAAAAUCGCAGGUGGGAGCACGAAGAAUGGGGUGCACAGAGAGUACACAGGACCAUCAGGCUGGCUUCCCUGUGAAGAAAGCCGAAGCUCUGACCCAAAGAAAGGAACUACAGAAAUUAUAAACUUUGAACCCUUGUUUCUAGACUAAAGGAAUUGAACAUGAACCCAAACACUCUCUGAUUGAACCUCUCCCAAGUCCCCCAAACUGGACAAACAGACCUCCCUUUGUCAGGAUGAGCAAGGGGAGAAACAUACCUGGAUACUUAAAACCCUCAGAAGCUGUAAAAGAUUGUCGUUGUGGGCGGGGGGCAGGGGGAGAGAAGCUUGCUAUGGGAAAAUGGGCAACAUUCUGGAAAAUACUAAAUUCGGUUUCUCAACAGUAGUUGAGAGGAGAUUGCAACCAUGAAAAAGGAACAAUUUGAGAGCAGGGAAGCCUGCUUUUACAUGAAACAAUAAGUGAAGCCAUAAUUACCCAAAGUAAAACUGCAACGGCAGUGCUGACUAGCAAAUCUGACAAUGCCAAAAACAGGACAAGCAGACCAAUAGGCCUGCCAGGGAAAUUCUGAAACUCAGGAAACGACAAUAUAUGAAAAUCAAGAGUGAAGAGAUGAGGAGCAUGCACCUCAGAACGAUCAACUAUACGAGACCUAAAGGGCAAUGUCUGCCCAAAAGCAAAGUUCAGAAGGACAGUAGAGGCAGGAAAGCUGGGCAAAUGGACACAGGGAAUCCAGGGAAGGAGCGGGGAGAGUGCUGACACAUUCACGGGUUUGCAACCAAUGUCAUGAAACAAGCUGUAUAUAAACUGUUGGAUGGGAAACUAAUUUGCACUGUAAACUUUCACCUACACCACAAUAAAAAGUUCAAAAAAGAAUGAAGAGAUGAGAGGCAAGCAGGGUAUCUCCUGGAGAUUGACUAGAAAUCCCAGAAAAAUGGAAUAUACCAGGCAAAGAGUAAGCAAUGACCAAAUAAGUAAUAAAAGAUAGUUAGAAAAAUUAUAUUCAGUCCAGAACCCCCACAGAGUCAGGCCAAAGUAAAAAUAGACUCUCUACUUGUCAUGUCCUGCCUUUUCUUUUUUAUUCCAAGGAUUAAAUUAAAAAAAAAAAAAAAACUUAGACUCAUUCUGCCUAACGAACAAACCAACAACCCAGGUUCAUAAACGUGUUGUUGUUGAGUCAAUUCCAACUUUUGCUGACCCCAGUCCAUGUUACAGAGUAGAACCACUCCACAGUUUUCUUGGCUGUUAUCUUUAUGGAAGUAGGUCACCAGACCUUUUUUCCACAGCAUUGCUGGUGGGUUCAAACCACCAACCUUCAGGUUAGCAGCUGAUCGCAAACUGCUACUACAAACCCAGCUAUGUACUAGGUGGGAAAAUCCAUUUGGCAUCAGACUUACCUCUCAACGCCAAAUUUCAGAAGACAGCAAAACAGCCUCUACAGAGUUUUGAGGAGGUUGUGUCUAAAACUGUUCUCUCUGCCAAGUUAUUGUUCUCACACAAGGGUGGCAAAAGCUUAUUCUUUGUGGUUCAGAGACUCAGAAAGCAUAACAGACGUAUGUCUUCUUGGGGAAAAAAAAGUCAUUUUAAGAAGUACUCCAGUCUCUCUAAGCAUGAUAUUAUAAGAGGAGACAAAAAAAAAUUUUCAAAUAUGUGCAAUGUCAAAAAAUUUCAUAAAAUUAAAAUGCAAAUGAAAACUAGAAUAAUAUUUAUCACAAAGAAGUACAAGAUUUAAAUCCUUUAGUAAUAAAGAGGAGCCCUGGUGGCACAUUGAUUAAGCAUUCGACUGCUAACCAAAAGUCAGCAGUUGGAAUCCACUUAUGGGGCGGUUCUACUCUGUCCUAUAGGGUCACUAUGAGUCAGAAUUGACUCGACAGCAACGGGUUUUGGUUUUUUUUUUGAGUAAUAAAAAGUUCCUGCAUAUCAGUCAGUCCCUGGGUGGUGCAAAUGAUUUGUGCUCCAUUACUAACCAAAAGGUUGGCGGUUCAAACCCACCCAAUGGCAUCUCGGAAGAUCUGGCCAUCUGCUUCCAUAAAGAUUACAGCCGAGAAAACCCUAUGGAGCUGUUCUACUCUGUAACACAUGGGUUUGCCAUGAAUCAGAAUCACCUCCACAACAGUGAGUUUGGGUUUUGGGCUGGCAUAUCAAUUAAAAAAUACAAUUUAAUUCUUUAAUGGCCAAGAAUACAACUCAUAAAUAUAAAAGUAAUUUCAACCUCAAUAGUAAUUGAAGAAACACAGAUUAAAACAAUGUAAUACCAUUUAUCAUUCAUAAAACAGACAAAGGUAAAAGAGAGAUAAAGGCCUGUUUUAGCAAGACUAUGGUGAUAUGGCCAUGUUCAUUCACCACCAGUGAGAGUUUAAAUUGCUAGAGCUUGUCUGAAAGGCAAUUUGGCAAUAUGAAUAAAGCAACAUUAAGAUGUUUGUGAUUUUAACCAGUAAUUCCACAUCUGGAAAUUUACCUUUAAAAACGAUCAUUUGUUCAAGGAUAUACGUACAUGAAUAGUUAUCAGAGUUUUGCUCACUUAUACAAGCAAAAAUGAGAAAAUAAAAAUCAAAAAAGGGGGUUAUAGAUGUAAAAAAAUUACAUCCAUACAUGGACAUAUUAUACAACCAUUAGUAUACAUAUUGGAGCCCUGGUUGCUCAGUGGUUAAGAGCUCAGUACUAACCAAAAGGUUGGCAGUUCAAAUCCACCAGCCACUCCUUGGAAAUACUAUGGGGCAGUUCUACUCCAUCCUAUAGGAUCGCUAUGAGUCGGAAUCGACUCAACAGCAACAGGUAUGGUUUGGUUUUUGGCAGUAUGAGUAUUAUAGACAUAAUUAAUGCAAGAUAUGUUUAUGAUAAUUUGUUAAGGGACAAAGGCAGGUUACAAAAUAGUAGGAAUGUAUAAAUUUUUGUGAAUAUAUACAUGUAUCUGUGCGCAAAUGAAAAUAAUUGGAAAGUUAUAGACCAAUGAUUCAGAAUUGACUCGACGGCAAUGGGUUUUUUAUAAGAUUAAUAGGUUAACCCUGGUAAUCUUCGAAUGGUGUAAGUGUGGGUAACUUUGUUAUUCUAAUUUUCCUUCAAUGAAUUUGUAUUAAGUGCAUACCAAAUAUUGUAAUACAAGAUUUGGAGGAUUUAUGUGUUCCAUUUUAAGAAAAUAGCUAAGGAAACCAAAUAAAGAAAACCAACGCAUUAGAUUACUAUUUAGUCUCUGUAAAAGUCCUCUGAAGUGGGUGUCAUUACAACAUACCCUCAUUUUAUAGACAGGUACUGAGAGAGGUUGAGAAGACUGCCCCAGGUCACAUAGCUAGUAAGUAGGUGGCAGAAUCACUUCCCGUCUGUGGCAUCUUAAACAAACCAUUUUGCCUUCCUGGCCUCAAUUUCCUUGCCUAUUGCUGAUAAUACUAAUAAUCUCAGGCAAGAGCAUGGUGCUUCAAUGAGCUAAUAGAUGUGAAUGGCUUGUAACCACAAGUUGGAUUGAAAGCUGACAAAAGUAAAUUCACACACAGCUCACACAGUACAGGGGCUGGUCAAUGUUGGUCUUAGUUUCCUGGAGCUGCCAUAACAAAAUAUAAUAAAGUGGGUGGCUUUAAAGAACAGAAAUUUAUUGUCUCACAGUUCUGUAGUCUAGGAGUCUGAAUUCAGGACAUUGGCUUGGCUAUGUUCUCUCUGUCUAGUCUAGGGGAAGAUCUUUCCUUGUCGGUAGCCCCAGAAGUUUCUUGACAUUUCUUGGCAUUCUUUGACGUUCCUUAACUUGUAGACGGAUCCUUACAUGGUAUCUUCCCCCUUUGUGUGGCUCCGUUUCUGUGUCUGUUGCCCCCUUUUAUAAGACACUAGGAUUAGACUCUAGGAUUAAGACUGUCCUUACUCCCGUAUGACGUCAUUUAACUUAACUGAUAACAAGAGAAAAAGCCUAUUUCCAAACAAGGUCAAAUACACAGGUGCAGGGGUGAGGCCUUCAACAUGUCUUUUAUGUCUUUUUAGGGGGGUAUAAUUCAAUCCAUAACAAUGUCAGUGUGCUUGUCCUUCCUAUCCCCACAUCUGGGCCUCCAGAGGCUGAAGUGAGUCCCUCUCCUCACACCCUGAGACCACUUAAGGUUUUCCUGGAAAGGACAGUCUCUCCCCUACCCUCACCAAGGCAGUGGCUUGCUCUAAGUCUCUGGGAAAGAAAGGAAACUGCUGAGUAAAAAUCACUCCAGCAAACCCAGCAGUAGGCCCCAUUCUCAGAGACCUGACAAUUAAAAUUUAGAUUGUAAUAUUUUUCAUCCACUAUUUGCAAUGGUGAACUGAUAGAAAUACUGCAGAUCAGCAUUUGUUGGUUUGGGUUGGGUUAUUCCCUCCUCCCGCUUUUUGGCAGUAAAUAGUUUUGACACAUGACUAUGAGAAUGGCAAUGAUGAUGUAGGGCUGAUGAGGAACACAAAUCAGGCAUAAUGCUAAUUGGGAUUCACUAGUCUCAUCAGUAUGGUAAUAAUGCUAUGAUGGAAGGGGCAACACUGCCGUUUAGUGUCAUUUUGUCAUUAGUUUUAAGUCUCUGAUGUUCUGGGGUUCUUACAAUGUCUCUACAGGUUAAUAUUCCUCUCCAAGCUAAAAAUUAGCACAGUCACCCCCAGACUAGAAACACUUCUAUGGGAUACCAUUUGGUAAGAAUGGAAGAUGGGACAAGAAAAAUAAAAGAGAGAGACUUUUCUUAAAAAGAUGACAUUGAAAAUGGAACUUUAUCACCAAGUUAUUGUCAAAAUAAUGCUGCAACAAACCAUCCCAAAACUCGGUGACUUAAAACCACCACCGUUCUUACUCACAGACCUGUGAGUUGGCUAGGGGUCAGCUGAUGUAGACUGGGCUCUGUUGGUUUGGGCUCCAAGCAGUGGGCCAGAUCGGGGUCUGCUCCACGCGUCUCUCAUUUUUCUUGGACAACUUUUCCGGGACCUGCUUUUCUCAAGGUGGUGAAAGAAGUGCAAGAGGGCAAGUCCCCCUACACAAGCACAUUUGCUGCAUCAUGUCCACCAUCAGCGCAUGGGUCAAAGCCAGUCACACGGUCAUGCUCAACAUCAGUGGGGAGAGAAGUAUAUCUCUGCCCACAGAGAGAGAAGGAAGAGACUGGAUAUUUGCUUUAUUGCUUUUAUCUACUUAAUAAAAGUUAAAUAUGCAAUGAAGAAAAAUAAAAUAACAUAGAAAUGAUUAAGAAAUGAUUAAAAUCCCUAUUAAUACUAUGACCCAAAGAGAUCAUUUUUAACAUUUUGGAUUACCAGAUUUGUUUUGAAACAUUCUUUUUGUUGAAAAAAAGAGGAUGUAAAAUCAAUUUUAGAGUCAAUUCUGAGAAGUAAAAAAAAAAAAAAAACUCCA